rnacentral:tRNA from 1 species
GGGUGGGUGGCUCAGUGGUUAGAGCCUAGGGUUUUUGACCGAAAAGUCCCUAGUUCGAAUCUUGCAAGAGGCA